GACAAAAUGGAAUAUUUGGUUUUCGAGCAAGAAAAGCAAUAUCCAUCUGGAGUAAGAUGACAACUUUCAAAUGCACAUGUCUAUAUUGAGAUGCAUUUCUUUGGCGCAAUACUAGACAACAUUGGUAGUUGAAGUUUUUAGAAUCAAAAAUAUAUUUCACUAACUUUGUAUACAUUUCUUGUUUAAUAUUUGGUGAUGAUAGAAUUUGACUGUAGUAUAAACUAUCAUGUAAUAUGAUUUUGUAAGCCGAGUAGACUAAAUAUUGAAAUUAUAUUUUUGAGUAAUUAAUAAAAAAAUAUUUUGUUGUA